CCUCUAAAGUGCCUGGUGUUUUUACCUUCCAUUCACUGAACUGGAUGUUGAGGUCACUCAGCGCCUUAGAGAAGGGGGCCCAUCAGUGGUACCGCUUUAAUGAAGCCCAUAUCAUGAAAGGAGGAAAAUAUCAGUAUUGUUGCUCUCUGUUCAUGCGAGGAGGACCAGGGGAGUGAGAGGGUGAAGGAAUAAGCCCUCUAACACGUACCAGAAGGCAAGGGAGUCAAACCGUUGAUCUGGUGCUGUAGCGAAGACCUGCUGCUUCUAUAAGGAGCUGGACGCCAUCCUCAGUGUCAAGCCCACAUCCGCCACCAAGAGCCCUGUGAAUACUUUGGCAGGGCUGGAAACUGCAGACUCAACCCCGAAGACAAAGUCGUGGAUGAGAAGGUCGAGUUGGAGGAUGAUAUGGAGCACAUGGCAGGAUCAUGUGGUGGUGCAGUGAGUCAGGAUCUUUUCUUCCACUCUGGAGGAGUCCAGUCAGUCCCAGCAGUCCGUCUCUGGGACACAUGAGGCAGGAGAGGAGAAGUCUGAUGUGGCCUUCAUAGGAACCCUACACACCUGCGGAGCACUUCCGCCAGAUAAGGAGGAGACCAAAGAGGAGCAAAGAGGACAUGUUACCAGAGGUGCUCCAAUCCUCAGAGGCCAAAAAACAGGAAAGCGGGGCGUAGAGAGAAACUUGAAAAGAAAAUGAUGGAAUAGUACAGAAAGGAGGAGCAAACUGAGAUGUUGAAGUCUCUAAUCUAGCUGCAGGCUGAAUUCGUACAUACUCACACCCUCCCUCCCCCUGCAGCUGAUACAGAACUACUUUCCAUGCCAUUUCCAAACUCCUCCCACACAUUCUAUGCAACAUCCCAGCCUGUCUCCGUAUCCUGCUCGCUCUAUCCCUUCGGACAGAUUCCAAAACAAUAGCUGGACUUAACAUGCAGCUAUAAGAGCCUACACUGCCCUUCAUUGUUAUCUCCCU